rnacentral:rRNA from 1 species
GUGCCAGCCGCCGCGGUAAUACGUAGGGGGCAAGCGUUGUCCGGAAUUAUUGGGCGUAAAGCGCGCGCAGGCGGCUUACUAAGUCUGGUGUGAAAGCCCACGGCUCAACCGUGGAGGGCCAUUGGAAACUGGUAAGCUUGAGUGCAGGAGAGGAGAGCGGAAUUCCUGGUGUAGCGGUGAAAUGCGUAGAUAUCAGGAGGAACACCCGUGGCGAAGGCGGCUCUCUGGCCUGUAACUGACGCUGAGGCGCGAAAGCGUGGGGAGCAAACAGGAUUAGAUACCCCUGUAGUCC